CCUACGGGUGGCAGCAGUGAGGAAUAUUGGUCAAUGGACGCAAGUCUGAACCAGCCAUGCCGCGUGCAGGAAGACGGCCCUAUGAGUUGUAAACUUCUUUUGUACGAGGGUAAACGCAGACACGCGUACCUGUCUGAAAGUAUUGUACGAAUAAGGAUCGGCUAACUCCGUGCCAGCAGCCGCGGUAAUACGGAGGAUUCGAGCGUUAUCCGGAUUUAUUGGGUUUAAAGGGUGCGUAGGUGGGCGGAUAAGUUAGUGGUGAAAGCCCGAGGCUCAACCGCGGAAUUGCCUUUGAUACUGUUCGUCUAGAGAGUAGUUGCGGUAGGCGGAAUGUAUGGUGUAGCGGUGAAAUGCUUAGAGAUCAUACAGAACACCGAUUGCGAAGGUAGCUUACCAAGCUACUUCUGACAUUGAGGCACGAAAGCGUGGGGAGCAAACAGGAUUAGAUACCCGGGUAGUC
rnacentral:rRNA from 1 species